AGAGUUUGAUCAUGGCUCAGGAUGAACGCUAGCUACAGGCUUAACACAUGCAAGUCGAGGGGCAGCAUGUUGGUUGCUUGCAACCAAUGAUGGCGACCGGCGCACGGGUGAGUAACGCGUAUCCAACCUACCCUUGUCCAUCGGAUAACCCGUCGAAAGGCGGCCUAACACGAUAUGCGGUUCACAGCAGGCAUCUAAGGUGAACGAAAUGUGAAGGAGAAGGAUGGGGAUGCGUCUGAUUAGCUUGUUGGCGGGGUAACGCCACCAGGCUACGAUCAGUAGGGGUUCUGAGAGAGUCCCCCANAUUGGAACUGAGACACGGUCCAAACGUCCUAAGGGAGGCA
rnacentral:rRNA from 1 species